rnacentral:rRNA from 1 species
GGGCCCGCACAAGCGGUGGAGCAUGUGGUUUAAUUCGACGCAACGCGAAGAACCUUACCAGGUCUUGACAUCCCCUGACAGCAUCAGAGAUGAUGUGUUUGGUCUUCGGACCGACAGGGAGACAGGUGGUGCAUGGUUGUCGUCAGCUCGUGUCGUGAGAUGUUGGGUUAAGUCCCGCAACGAGCGCAACCCUUAUUCUUAGUUGCCAGCACAAAAGGUGGGCACUCUAAGGAGACUGCCGGUGAUAAACCGGAGGAAGGUGGGGAUGACGUCAAAUCAUCAUGCCCUUUAUGCCCUGGGCUACACACGUGCUACAAUGGCCUGUACAAAGGGCAGCGAAGCAGUGAUGCGGAGCCAAUCCCAAAAAGCAGGUCUCAGUUCGGAUUGCAGGCUGCAACUCGCCUGCAUGAAGUCGGAAUCGCUAGUAAUCGCGGAUCAGCAUGCCGCGGUGAAUACGUUCCCGGGCCUU